UGAAAUGCGGAAUUUCACCGCAUGCAGUGCAUGUGUCAGGACGCAGACGCGUGUCUUCAUAUCUCCGCCGCACACCCAUCUCCCAACCUCCUCAAUUCACCUCUCCAGUGGAUUCGGCCCUGCAAAGUUUCUGAUCCAAACAAUGGUACUCAUGGGAUUCACUCAACCAACCAAGAGGCGCUGUAACUGAGGCUGCUGUGUCCCGGUUGGCUAGCUAUUCAUAAGUAACCAAGCAGAAAGUGGAGGUAAUUUUCAUUUCCACAGAUGGAUGAUCCAGACAUGGAAUCAGAGAUUCAAGAUUACUCAUCAUCAGAUGGAAGUGACAAGAUGAAUUGGAUUCUGGACAAGGGAUUGAUGCUGGGGAAGAAAGCUCUGCUCACAGGUAUUGUGAUCUCAUCUGUACCCUUUGUUCUCCCUCCAUUAGUGGUUUUCUCGGCUCUUGGGCUGGCUUUCUCAGUCCCUUCUGGGCUUGCUGUUGCCACCUAUGCUUGUACCGAGAAGAUCAUGAGCAAGCUGCUCCCAAUGCCCAACCCCCCUCCCCUCGCUUUAGAGUAUGUGGAGGAAAUCUCUAGUGAUGAAAAAGAAGACGACAUGGGAUUUGGAGGAGAAAUUGAUAUGGGAAAGGAGGAAGACAAACUAAUGGAGGAUACAAAAAGAGGAGUUGAGGUGAGGAUUGAGUUUGUUGACAAGGGUAAAGAAGAACAGAUUGAAGGGAAGGUUUUGGUGGAGCAGGAUGAUUUAGGGCCAGAAAGCAUCCUGAAUGACGAAGUGGCAGAACCAGUAAUACAACUGGGUGGGGAUCAGCUUGUGGAAGAAAGCAGUUAUGAGGAGGAUGUUGGUGAUGGCAUACCAAAAGAGGGUGAACAGCCAUUAGAGAACAUCGAUGUGGGAGUUGAAGAAAGCAGGGAUGGCAAGGUGCACAGAUUAGUGAUUGUAUUUGAGAAAAAUGAUAGCAAUGUUGAAGAAAUCAGGGAUGAACAUCCAGAAACUGAGAUACCCAGAGUUGUGGUCAAAGUUGAGAAAAUGGAUGAGAGUGUUGAAGAAGGGGAGACACUGAUUCAAGCAGCAACAAUGGCUGACAUCAUAGAUGAGAACAAACUUGCAGGUGAGACAACGGGAUUGCUUGAAAGAAUCAGGGAUGAAGGUAAAUCAGUGGAAGAGGCAGAGCAGCAGGGGAAAGGUAUAUCAGGAGGAAAUCUGGAUGAAAUGAGUGUUGAUAAUGUUGCAGAAGCCGAGAAACAGAUGAAUGAUGGAGUAGAAACAAUAGAUGUCAGAAGCAUUAAGGACGAGGAGCAGAGACAUAUUGUAUACAAGAAGACCAUGGUGGUAAUAGGAGGAAUGGAUGUCGAUAACAGUGUAACUGAAGAUUUAAGGAAGGAAAAUGUGAUUUCAUCAAAUGCAGAUGUAAGAGAAAUUGCAGAUGAAAGUGGGUUCGAUUUGUUCGAUGACAAGAAUGAAGCUGUUGAGCAGUACCCUCGUAGGGUAUGCGGUGUCCGCAUAGGAUUCAGAGGUGAAAAUGGCAGAGAUUUUAUACCCGAGUCCAAGGUUUUGUCAGAGAUAGACAGCACUGUGAAGUCCAAUGAGGUCAGUGCUGAUUUUUUUUGUCUUUCUUGGAUAAACCGUGUUUCUGCUAGAUGGUUGACUGGAAAAUGAAAACAGAUGUAACUGUGUUCCUGCUAGAUGAUUGACUGGAAAAUGAAAAGAGACAUUAGUCUUAUUUGUAUUUCCUCAUGUUUAGUUGUCAUUCCAAAUAGGUAUUAGGGAGAAUUCUAGUCAAGAAAUUUUUCGAAGCAUGAUCUGGGAGUUAACCAGAUGACAAAAGCUUGUGUGAGAUUUUCUGGGUUCACGGUUUCUUGGUAUAAUCAUCAUUUAGAAGAUUUUCUGAACCGUCAUGGAUUUGUAUUAUUCUGAAUAAAUCCCAAAGCCCUGGGCCUAAAAGUUGUUUCCAUCCUUGCCCAGGUUGAAGAACAGCUUACUAAUAGUAUGGAUUUGGUGCAGGAGCAGGUGCCGGAGAGCGAAGAGAAGAUAUGGGAACGGAUUGACGCAAUGCGGGCAAUAGUGGGAUACAAAGCCCCAUCCAGCAGAACAUGCGUGGAAGAGCUGAAGGCGCUGUACAUGUUCACGGGCGUGGAGCCACCUCCCUCAUUCAAGGACCCCUCUGAUCUGAUGGAAGUAAGCAGCAGGCUUCAGUUUCUGAUGUCCAUAGUUGGAGUGAAGUAGAACUUUGUUGGCCUUAUACUUUGUUUUCAGUAGUUGUUUUGUGGAGGAGAGUGUGUUCUUCCUAUGAUGGAUUUGGAUGCUAUUCUGUUAGAACACUCUUGUCUGGAGAUUCCUAGCUUUGUAGGAUGUGGGAAAGCCAUGGUGUGCUGCUGUUUGUGUGUUGGCUUAGGAGAAGCGCAGCGGCCAUUAUUUCGGCCACAAAUGAAAUACUACAGUGCAUUUGGUAGUAAUUCUAAAAAACGUUUUUAGUGUAUUUUUGAUAAAGAUUUUAAGAAGUGUUUUUAGCAUUUUCAA